UGAUACUCAGUAUCUGACUUAAACCAAAGAAAACAUGUUUGUUAUCGUUGUCUUUCUCUUCGUUUCUUUUUUAUGAACGGAAUCGUGAUAACACUUUUAUUACAAAAUCUGUUGGUAGUGGGUUAAAUGAGGUAAAUUCCAAGGUAACCCAUACUAAGAGGUCACAUUUGCGUCAUCGCAAUAAUUCAACUUUACAUCGUUAUUUUUUAUAACGUUAAAGUCACAAAACUGCAAUGCAGCUUAUUAAACACUUGAAUAAUUAUUUAAGUUCAAAUUUUAACUUCUUCGGAUUUAAUAAUGCUAACUUGACUUUUCUUUCGAUGUUCAGAAAAACAAUGUACCCAUAAAUGCUCCGCUGAACUCCAACACUUCCUACAUUUUUUAAGUGUGUAAGUAAAAGUACGCCACUGCCUUUUAUUUCAAGCGCCGUAAGUCAUUACGAUUUUCAAGACAACUUGUUUUUAUUUUUAUUUAUGUAUUUGCGGUAUCCAUCGAUGGAAGGGGGGACAUAAUUGGAUUUAAACUCUUCUAACCUCGUACUCCGGGGUACACUGUCAUGAACAUUAAACAGUCCAGCCUUGUCGCUCUCUUGAGUUACUACAAACACUAGAAACCGGUCCAUCUUACAAUGACGUUAUAUGGAAAAUUGGUGCAGAUUAUAUUGGUGAAUUAUAGCAUUUGAGAAAAUGUGUACACCACCCCCAGCACUACAAAAUCUGUGAUUCCUAUUAUAAACCUAUUAAUUCCUUGAUUAUACAAAACAGUAAGUGAAUAUGUAGAUUUUUGUUAUAUUUAUUCGAAAAAUGUAAAAUAAAAAUCAAAAUUAACAAAA